rnacentral:rRNA from 1 species
UACAGGGGGCUCGAGCGUUAGUCGGAAUCACUGGGCUUAAAGGGUGCGUAGGCGGCUCGCCAAGUGCUUUGUGAAAUCCCACAGCUCAACUGUGGAACAGCAGGGCAAACUGGCGGGCUUGAGGCAGGUAGGGGCCGGAAGAACAGUUGGUGGAGCGGUGAAAUGCGUAGAUAUCAGGAGGAACACCGGUGGCGAAGGCGGGUCUCUGGGCCGAUACUGACGCUGAGGAGCGAAAGCGUGGGGAGCGAACAGG